rnacentral:rRNA from 2 species
ACGGGAGGCAGCAGUGGGGGAUAUUGCACAAUGGGCGAAAGCCUGAUGCAGCAACGCCGCGUGAGGGAAGAAGGUUUUCGGAUUGUAAACCUCUGUCCUUGGUGAAGAUAAUGACGGUAGCCAAGGAGGAAGCUCCGGCUAACUACGUGCCAGCAGCCGCGGUAAUACGUAGGGAGCGAGCGUUGUCCGGAUUUACUGGGUGUAAAGGGUGCGUAGGCGGCACAGCAAGUCAGGCGUGAAAACUAUGGGCUUAACCCAUAACGUGCGUUUGAAACUGUUGUGCUUGAGUGAAGUAGAGGCAGGCGGAAUUCCCGGUGUAGCGGUGGAAUGCGUAGAGAUCGGGAGGAACACCAGUGGCGAAGGCGGCCUGCUGGGCUUUAACUGACGCUGAGGCACGAAAGUGUGGGGAGCAAACAGGAUUAGAUACCCUGGUA